AUGGGGGACCUGAUGCCCCACCCCCGUGAGUGAUGACGNCCUNCGGGUUGUAAACCNCUGNCUNCAGGGNCGAUAAUGNCGGUCCCUGAGGAGGAACCCCCGGCUAACUNCGUGCCACCACCCCCGGUAAUNCGUAGGUGGCAACCGUUAUCCGGAUUUNCUGGGUGUAAAGGGACCGUAGACGGUGUGGCCAAGNCCUGAUGUGAAAGGCAUGGGCCUCACCCUGUGGACCUGCCAUUGGAANCUGUCAUACUUGAGUGCCCGGAGGGGUAACCGGAAUUCCUAGUGUACCGGUGAAAUGCGUAGAUAUUAGGAGGANCNCCAGUGGCCGAAGGCGGCCUUACUGGACGGUANCUGACGUUGAGGCCNCGAAAGCCGUGGGGAGCCAANCAGGAUUAGAUNCCCUGGUAGUCCCAAGGGCCGAAUUC
rnacentral:rRNA from 1 species